UCAGCUCGUGUCGUGAGAUGUUGGGUUAAGUCCCGCAACGAGCGCAACCCCUAUUGUUAGUUGCCAUCAUUCAGUUGGGCACUCUAGCGAGACUGCCGGUAAUAAACCGGAGGAAGGUGGGGAUGACGUCAAAUCAUCAUGCCCCUUAUGACCUGGGCUACACACGUGCUACAAUGUUGGUACAACGAGUUGCGAGUCGGUGACGGCGAGCUAAUCUCUUAAAGCCAAUCUCAGUUCGGAUUGUAGGCUGCAACUCGCCUACAUGAAGUCGGAAUCGCUAGUAAUCGCGGAUCAGCACGCCGCGGUGAAUACGUUCCCGGGCCUU
rnacentral:rRNA from 1 species